CGUAAACCGACACAGGUGGAUGAGGAGAGAAUCCUAAGGCCGACGGAAGAAGCAUUGUUAAGGAACUCGGCAAAAUAGCCCCGUAACUUCGGGAGAAGGGGUGCCUGGAAACAGGCCGCAGAGAAUUGGCCCAAGCAACUGUUUAGCAAAAACACAGGUCUAUGCGAAACCGAAAGGUGAGGUAUAUGGGCUGACGCCUGCCCGGUGCUGGAAGGUUAAGAGGAGAGCUUAGCGCAAGCGAAGGUUUGAAUUUAAGCCCCAGUAAACGGCGGCCGUAACAAUAACGGUCCUAAGGUAGCGAAAUUCCUUGUCGGGUUAGUUCCGACCCGCACGAAAGGCGUAAUGAUUUGGGCGCUGUCUCGACAAUGCAUCCGGUGAAAUUGAAGUACCAGUGAAGAUGCUGGUUACCUGCGCCAGGACGGAAAGACCCCAUGGAGCUUUACUCAGCUUGACACUGGGAUUCGGUAAUGCAUCUACAGGAUAGGUGGGAGGCAAUGAAAUAGGGACGCCAGUUUCUAUGGAGCCGCUGUUGGGAUACCACCCUUGCGUUAUUGGGUUCCUAACCUGCCGCCGUUAUCCGGCGGGGGGACAAUGUCUGGCGGGGAGUUUGACUGGGGCGGUCGCCUCCGAAAGUGUAUCGGAGGCGCCCAAAGGUUCCCUCAGAAUGGUUGGAAACCAUUCGAAGAGUGCAAAGGCAGAAGGGAGCUUGACUGCGACACCGACGGGUGGAGCAGGUACGAAAGUAGGGCUUAGUGAUCCGGUGGUAUUAAGUGGGAAUGCCAUCGCUCAACGGAUAAAAGCUACCCUGGGGAUAACAGGCUUAUCACUCCCAAGAGUUCACAUCGACGGAGUGGUUUGGCACCUCGAUGUCGGCUCAUCGCAUCCUGGGGCUGUAGUAGGUCCCAAGGGUUGGGCUGUUCGCCCAUUAAAGCGGUACGCGAGCUGGGUUCAGAACGUCGUGAGACAGUUCGGUCCCUAUCCGGCGCGGGCGUAGGAUAUUUGAGAGGAGCUGCCCUUAGUACGAGAGGACCGGGGUGGACUGACCUCCGGUGUACCGGUUGUCAUACCAAUGGCACGGCCGGGUAGCCAAGUCGGGCAGGGAUAAACGCUGAAGGCAUCUAAGCGUGAAGCCCCCCUCAAGAUGAGAUAUCCCAAGACCCCUUGAAGAACACGUGGUAGAUAGGGCAGAGGUGGAAGUGCAGUAAUGCAUGGAGCUGACUGCUACUAAUCGGUCGCAAGCUUAUCC
rnacentral:rRNA from 1 species